UUUAAAUUUGAAUAUAAUAAGCUCUGGAUAAGUAGUAGAUAGAUACUUAAAAGUUAAAAAAUUUGGCGGUGAUUUAAUCUUUUCAGAGGAACUUGUUUUUUAAUCGAUAAACCACGUUUGAUCUUACUUAUUUUAGUAUAACCAGCAUGUAUACCAUCAUUAACAGGUAAUUUUUAAAGAAAAAAUUACUAAAAAUAAUUGAUUAAGAAAAUUAGAUCAUGGUGCAGCUCAUAAAUAAGUUAAAAUGAGUUACAAUAAAGUUUUUUAUAUGAAUUAGUAGAGGAAAUAUUUACUAUAAAGGUGGAUUUGAUUGUAAGUGUGGAUUAAUAAGCUUAUCUGAUAUUGGUGCUAAAUCAUGUACAUAUCGCCCGUCGCUUUCGCUAAACGAAAUAAGUCGUACAUA
rnacentral:rRNA from 1 species